rnacentral:lncRNA from 10 species
GUACUCCCCCUGCUUUAAUUUUAAUUUUUUAAAUUAAAGUACUAUAUACAGGCUGGGUGUGGUGGCUCAUGCCUGUAAUCCCAGCACUUUGGGAGGCUGAGGUGGGUGGAUCACCUGAGAUCAGGAGUUCAAGACCAGCCUGGCCAACAUGGCGAAACCCCAUCUCUAUUAAAAAUACAAAAAUUAUCUGGGCAUGGUGGCACGUGCCUGUAAUCCCAGUUGCUCAGGAGGCUGAGGCAGGAGAAUUGCUUGAACCGGGGAGGCGGAGGUUGCAGUGAGCCGAGAUUGUGCCACUGUACUCCAGCCUGCGCGACAGAGAACCCAUCUCAAAAAAAAGAAAGUAAUACAUACAUGCCAGGUGUGGUGGCACAUGCCCAAAAUCCCAGCACUUUGGGAUGCUGAGGUGGGCAGAUCACUUGAGCCCAGGAGUUUGAGACCAGGCUGGCCAGUAUGGUGAAACCCUGUCUCUACUAAAUAUACAGAAACAUUAGCUGAGCAUGGUGCUGCAUGCCUGUAGUCCCAGCUACUCAGGAGGCUGAGGCACGAGAAUUGCUUGAACCUAGGAGGCUGAGGUUGCGGUGAGCUGAGAUUGCACCACUACACUCCAGCCUGGGCAACAGAGCAAGACUCUGUCUCAGAAAAAUAAAGCAAUACAUACGCAUGGUUAAAAAAUUAAUGAUAUGGAAAUAUAUAAAAGUAAACAUCUUCUUUUUCCAAAGGACUAGUCCUCUCUGGAAGUAACCACUCUUAACAAGUUUUUCCAUGUUCUUCCAGAAAACUUCGCACACUAGAGCAACACAGGUGUCCUUUUAGAAAAUAUUAUCGGCCGGGCACGGUGGCUCACACCUGUAAUCCCAGCACUUUGGGAGGCUGAGGUGGGUGGAUCACCUGAGAUCAGGAGUUCUGAGACCAGCCUGGCCAACAUGGCGAAACCCUGUCUCUACUAAAAAUACUAAAAUUAGGCGGGUGUGGUGGCGGGCACCUGUAGUCCCAGCUACUCAGGAGGCUGGGGCAUGAGAAUUGCUAGAACCUGGGAAGCAGAGGUUGCAGUGAGCCAAGAUUGUGCCACUGCACUCCAGCCUGGGUGACAGAGUGAGACUGUGUCUCAAAAAAAAAAAAAAAGAAAGAAAAUAUUAUCAAAUAGGUUCAUACUUUGGUGGGGUUUUGGUUUGUUUUGACUAAAACCCUUCAUUCUCUGUACUGUAUUUGAACAAUACCUAUUGAUGGACAUUUCUGGUGUUUUCAGUUUUUGAAUUUCUACACAGUCCUGGAAUGAACAUUUCAUUUGUAUGUCUCGCUAAUUUUUAUACUUUUUGUAGAGUGCUGGGAUUACAGGCAUUUGUAUGUCUUGUAAUUUGUAUGUCAUCUUGCAAUUGUGUACUAUGUACCUUGGAUGUACCUUUUAAAGAUCGUUGGUGGUGGGACACGUGUUUUUUGAGGAAGAUGGUACUGAGGUCAGCACCCUGGCUGCCCUGAGAGUGCAGUGCCACGUUCCCCACCCUCUCGCCAACCACAGGAUUAUGCUGCAAAUGUAAAUCUUUACCAAUUUGAUAGGCAAAAAAUGGGAUCUCAGCAUUUUAGCCUGCAUCUCUGAGUACUAACGAGGCUGAACACGAAAUGAGCUUAUUUUCUUUUCAGAAGCCCCUGAAUGUGACAGUGAUCCGCAGGGGGGAAAAACACCAGCUUAGACUUGUUCCAACACGCUGGGCAGGAAAAGGACUGCUGGGCUGCAACAUUAUUCCUCUGCAAAGAUGAUUGUCCCUGGGGAACAGUAACAGGAAAGCAUCUUCCCUUGCCCUGGACUUGGGUCUAGGGAUUUCCAACUUGUCUUCUCUCCCUGAAGCAUAAGGAUCUGGAAGAGGCUUGUAACCUGAACUUCUGUGUGGUGGCAGUACUGUGGCCCACCAGUGUAAUCUCCCUGGAUUAAGGCAUUCUUAAAAACUUAGGCUUGGCCUCUUUCACAAAUUAGGCCACGGCCCUAAAUAGGAAUUCCCUGGAUUGUGGGCAAGUGGGCGGAAGUUAUUCUGGCAGGUACUGGUGUGAUUAUUAUUAUUAUUUUUAAUAAAGAGUUUUACAGUGCUGAUAUG